ACGGAGGGUGCAAGCGUUAUCCGGAUUCACUGGGUUUAAAGGGUGCGUAGGCGGGCAAUUAAGUCCGUGGUGAAAUACCUGAGCUUAACUUGGGAACUGCCAUGGAUACUAUUUGUCUUGAAUGUCGUGGAGGUUAGCGGAAUAUGUCAUGUAGCGGUGAAAUGCUUAGAUAUGACAUAGAACACCUAUUGCGAAGGCAGCUAACUACGCGAAUAUUGACGCUGAGGCACGAAAGCGUGGGGAUCAAACAGGAUUAGAUACCCUGGUAGUCCACGCCCUAAACGAUGAUUACUCGACAUUGGCGAUACACAGUCAGUGUCUGAGCGAAAGCAUUAAGUAAUCCACCUGGGAAGUACGACCGCAAGGUUG
rnacentral:rRNA from 1 species